AGCGGGCCGGACGGCCGCGGCGCAGCGGCCUCACGGCAUCGCUGCGGUGAGGAAAGUCCGGGCUCCACAGGGCAGGAUGCCAGCUAACAGCUGGGCGGGGUGACCCGACGGAAAGCGCCACAGAAAAGAAGACUCCCCCGCGCCUGCGGGAGAAAAGCUGAAACGGUGCGGUAAAAGCGCACCAGCGUCGCAGCGAUGCGGCGGCUUGGCAAGCCCCAUCCGGAGCAAGGGCAAAUAGGGAUGCGAUGCGCCGGCCCGGCGUGCAUCCGGGUUGCCUGCUCGAGACGCGCAGCGAUGCGCGUACUAGAUAAAUGGCCGUCUUGAAAGACAGAACCCGGCUUACAGGCCCGCUCC
rnacentral:RNase_P_RNA from 1 species